UACUUACCAACUCCUCCGUUAGAGCAUGGCGGAAGAUAUUCGUUAUCCUUGCCAGGAGUUGGCGGUGGAGGUGGUGGACGAGUUGUUGGUGGUGGUGGCACAUAGCAGUUCGGGCCAGUUCCUCCGUUGGUACAGCAGUACGGUGGAACUCCUCCAGCUGGACAACUCGGUGGACGAGUCGGUGGUGGUGGAGGUGGACGAGUUGGUGGUGGCGUUGGUGGCGGUGGAACGUAACAGUUCGGACCAGUUCCUCCAUUAGUACAGCAGUACGGGGGAACUCCACCAGCCGGGCAGGAUGGUGGUGGAGGAGGCGGUGGUGGCCUAGGCACUACACAGUUAGGU